GACACAGAGUAACGGAGGCAAGUGCAUCUGAAGCUCUUCCUGCAAUUAUAACAUGGCAUCAGAGAUAAAAGAUGGCAUGUAGGACAGAGGCAGCCAGAAGAAUUUUGCAUCCCAACCGGCAGAGUAACGGGUGCGAGGAUGAACAGCCGAGACAGCAUGCGCCAUACAGCUCACCACUUUCAUCAGAUCUCCAUCAAGCUUCUUAUCAAUCUGGUCCGCCAUCUUUGCUUUCACUAAAAUAGAUAUCUACAGAUUAUACACAUUCCUGAGGCAUGAAGACCAGUGACAAGAAAUUAAGAUAUCUACAGAUUAUACACAUUCCCGAUUCUUGAAGACCAGUGACAGACUUAACAAUGUAGUUACAGCUUUAG